rnacentral:rRNA from 1 species
UAAGGGCGCACGGUGGAUGCCUUGGCACUAGAAGCCGAUGAAGGACGUUACUAACGACGAUAUGCUUUGGGGAGCUGUAAGUAAGCUUUGAUCCAGAGAUUUCCGAAUGGGGAAACCCAGCAUGAGUUAUGUCAUGUUAUCGAUAUGUGAAUACAUAGCAUAUCAGAAGGCACACCCGGAGAACUGAAACAUCUUAGUACCCGGAGGAAGAGAAAGAAAAUUCGAUUCCCUUAGUAGCGGCGAGCGAAACGGGAAGAGCCCAAACCAACAAGCUUGCUUGUUGGGGUUGUAGGACACUCUAUACGGAGUUACAAAGGACGACAUUAGACGAAUCAUCUGGAAAGAUGAAUCAAAGAAGGUAAUAAUCCUGUAGUCGAAAAUGUUGUCUCUCUUGAGUGGAUCCUGAGUACGACGGAGCACGUGAAAUUCCGUCGGAAUCUGGGAGGACCAUCUCCUAAGGCUAAAUACUCUCUAGUGACCGAUAGUGAACCAGUACCGUGAGGGAAAGGUGAAAAGCACCCCGGAAGGGGAGUGAAAUAGAACCUGAAACCGUGUGCUUACAAGUAGUCAGAGCCCGUUAAUGGGUGAUGGCGUGCCUUUUGUAGAAUGAACCGGCGAGUUACGAUUUGAUGCAAGGUUAAGCAGUAAAUGUGGAGCCGUAGCGAAAGCGAGUCUGAAUAGGGCGUUUAGUAUUUGGUCGUAGACCCGAAACCAGGUGAUCUACCCUUGGUCAGGUUGAAGUUCAGGUAACACUGAAUGGAGGACCGAACCGACUUACGUUGAAAAGUGAGCGGAUGAACUGAGGGUAGCGGAGAAAUUCCAAUCGAACCUGGAGAUAGCUGGUUCUCUCCGAAAUAGCUUUAGGGCUAGCCUCAAGUGAUGAUUAUUGGAGGUAGAGCACUGUUUGGACGAGGGGCCCCUCUCGGGUUACCGAAUUCAGACAAACUCCGAAUGCCAAUUAAUUUAACUUGGGAGUCAGAACAUGGGUGAUAAGGUCCGUGUUCGAAAGGGAAACAGCCCAGACCACCAGCUAAGGUCCCAAAAUAUAUGUUAAGUGGAAAAGGAUGUGGCGUUGCCCAGACAACUAGGAUGUUGGCUUAGAAGCAGCCAUCAUUUAAAGAGUGCGUAAUAGCUCACUAGUCGAGUGACACUGCGCCGAAAAUGUACCGGGGCUAAACAU